GAAAUGCGAUAAGUAAUGUGAAUUGCAGAAUUCAGUGAAUCAUCGAAUCUUUGAACGCACAUUGCGCCCGUCAGCAUUCUGGCGGGCAUGCCUGUUCGAGCGUCAUUUCAACCCUCAGGACCCCCCUUUCGCGGGGAGGGACCUGGCGUUGGGGAUCGGCCCGCCCCCCGCGGCGGCGCCGUCCCCGAAAUCUAGUGGCGGUCUCGCUGCAGCCUCCCCUGCGCAGUAGUUACAACCUCGCAUCGGAGCGCGGCGCGGCCACGCCGUAAAACCCCCGACUUUCUGAACGUUGACCUCGGAUCAGGUAGGAAUACCCGCUGAACUUAAG
rnacentral:misc_RNA from 1 species